rnacentral:rRNA from 1 species
UACGUAGGGUGCAAGCGUUAAUCGGAAUUACUGGGCGUAAAGCGUGCGCAGGCGGUUACGUAAGACAGGUGUGAAAUCCCCGGGCUUAACCUGGGAACUGCAUUUGUGACUGCAUAGCUAGAGUACGGUAGAGGGGGAUGGAAUUCCGCGUGUAGCAGUGAAAUGCGUAGAUAUGCGGAGGAACACCGAUGGCGAAGGCAAUCCCCUGGACCUGUACUGACGCUCAUGCACGAAAGCGUGGGGAGCAAACAGG